GCGAUCAUACCAGCAGUAAUGCACCGGAUCCCAUCAGAACUCCGAAAUUAAGCUUGCUUGGGUGAGGGCAUUACUAGGAUGGGUGACCCCCUGGGAAGUCCUCGUGUUGCACCU
rnacentral:rRNA from 1 species